GACCUCCCGGGAUCGCGUCUGGAGAGUGCCCAGUCCUCUGCCAGCUUCGGAAGCGGGAGGGAGAGCAAGGCCGCGGAGCACCCAUUCCAUUCCCAGCUUGCUCGGUAGCUGGUGACUGGAAGACCCUCUGCUACAGGG
ensembl:snoRNA